rnacentral:rRNA from 1 species
GAUGAACGCUGGCGGCGUGCCUAAUACAUGCAAGUCGAGCGAACGGACGAGAAGCUUGCUUCUCUGAUGUUAGCGGCGGACGGGUGAGUAACACGUGGAUAACCUACCUAUAAGACUGGGAUAACUUCGGGAAACCGGAGCUAAUACCGGAUAAUAUUUUGAACCGCAUGGUUCAAAGGUGAAAGACGGUCUUGCUGUCACUUAUAGAUGGAUCCGCGCUGCAUUAGCUAGUUGGUAAGGUAACGGCUUACCAAGGCAACGAUGCAUAGCCGACCUGAGAGGGUGAUCGGCCACACUGGAACUGAGACACGGUCCAGACUCCUACGGGAGGCAGCAGUAGGGAAUCUUCCGCAAUGGGCGAAAGCCUGACGGAGCAACGCCGCGUGAGUGAUGAAGGUCUUCGGAUCGUAAAACUCUGUUAUUAGGGUAGAACAUAUGUGUAAGUAACUGUGCACAUCUUGACGGUACCUAAUCAGAAAGCCACGGCUAACUACGUG